CGUGAUUUACGCAUAAGUGUUUGAUUUUCGAAAAGAAAACCCGUGUUUUUUGCUUAAAUGGGGGAUUUGUGUAAAGAAAACGCGUGAUUUUCUGGUUAAAUGGAGGAUUUCCGAAGAGAAAACGUGUGAUUUUCGCAUAAAUGGGGGAUUUCCGAAGAGAAAACGCGUGAUUUUCGCAUAAAUGGGGGAUUCUCGAAGAGAAAACGCGUGAUUUUCGCUUAAAUGAGGGAUUUCCGAAGAGAAAACGCGAGAUUUUUGCUUAAAUGGGGGUUUUGCAAGGGAAAACGUGUGAUUUCUGGUUAAAUGGGGGAUUUCGGAAGAGAAAACUCGUGUUUUUUUGGGUUAAUUGGGGGAUUUGCGAAGAGAAAUCGCGUGAUUUUCGCUUAAAUGGGGGAUUUCCGAAGAGAAAACGCGUGAUUUUCAAGUUAAAUGGGGGAUUUGCGAAGAGAAAACGCGUGAUUUUCGCAUAAAUGGGGUAUUUGAGAAGAGAAAAUUCGUGAUCUUCACUUAAAUGGGGGAUUCUCAAAGAGAAAACGCUUGAUUUUCACUUAAAUUGACGAUUCUCAAAGAGAAAACGCGAGAUUUUCACUUAAAUGGGGGUUUUGCGAAGGGAAAACGUGUGAUUUUCGCUUAAAUGUGGGAUUUCUGAAGAGAAAACUCGUGGUUUUUUGUGUUAAUUGGGGGAUCUGCAAAGAGAAAAUGCGUGAUUUUCGCUUAAAUGGGGGAUUCUCGAAGAGAAAACGCGAGAUUUUUUCUUAAAUGUUGGAUUCUUGAAGUGAAAACGCGUGAUUUUCGCUUUAAUUGGGGAUUUGAGAAAAGAAAACGCGUGAUUUUUGCUUAAAUGGUGGAUUUGUGAAGAGAAAACGCAAGUUUUCCGCAUAAACAGGGGAUUUGCAAAUUGAAAACAUGCGAUGUUCGGGUUAACUGGGGGAAUCUCGAAGAGAAAACACGUGGUUUUCGGGUUAAAUGGGGGAUUUGCGAAGAGAAAAUGCGUGAUUUUCGCUUAAAUGGGGGAUUUGAGAAAACACAUGAUUUUCGGGUUAAAUGGGGGAUUCUCGAAGAGAAAAUGCUUGGUUUUCUGGUUAAAUGGGGGAUUUGCGAAGAGAAAACACGUGAUUUUCGCUUAAAUGGGGGAUUUCCGAAGAGAAAACGCAUGAUUUUCUGGUUAAAUGUUGGAUUCUCGAAGAGAAAACGCGUGAUUUUCGCUUAAAUGGGGGAUUUGAGAAAACGCGUGAUUUUCGGUUAAAUGUUGGAUUCUCGAAGAGAAAACGCGUGAUUUUCGCUUAAAUGGGGGUUUUGCGAAGGGAAAACGUGUGAUUUUCUGGUUAAAUGGAGGAUUUCCGAAGAGAAAACGUGUGAUUUUCGCAUAAAUGGGGGAUUUCCGAAGAGAAA
ensembl:lncRNA